rnacentral:lncRNA from 1 species
AGCAAAGCCUUUGCACCAGGAGAAGCAUUUCUCCUGAAGUCACACAGUGACAAAAGGUAAUUUCACGUCCACUGACAUGGAAACUGAAUUUCCACCACUCCUGGCUUUCAGCAACGUCAGACCAUAUCUGCGUGUUCUUAAAGGAAGAGGCUGUGCACGGACCACUUUUGAUAAGAGAAUGAUGGAGUUACCAAUUAGAAGCCACUCCAAAUCAUCACUGAAAUGAAAAGGGAGCUACUGGAAAAGGAGAGGUUAACCAUUUGCCCAAGAUGAGACAGCCAGAGAGUAGAGAAACCAGGAUUACCAGGUAGAACACCGGACCCGAGCUUGGCCACUGUUUGUUUUACAAGGUCGUCUUUCUACAGUAUCCCAGUUCUGGUAACAGGGUCCUUACUUCCUUCCAAUUCCCCAAUUUGAGUCCUUUUCUAAACUGUCUCAAGAUCACAUGCCUCCCUAAGGUUGGACUCCUGCCUGGCAUUUCUCUUUUGGGGAAUAAGUUUUUGCCUUGAGUUUCACCCAUUCAUCCAGGGCCCCAUUGGCCCUGAGGCCAGCUCCCUUCAUGUCUCAAUCUCCAAAUACUAUAUGCUCCUGGGUUUCACACAAUCAUAUCUCCCACUGUUAGAUGUCCCCAGGUGAUGUGUUCAGCCUUCCUGCAUAAACUUCAUCCCAAGCCAAGCAGGUGAAUUAGGAUUGAACUGGAAAAUGCCCCCAUACAAGGAGAGCUUUCAAUUUACUGUUCUGAAAGAUACCUUGCAUUUUUCUAGAUGCCUAGAGAGACCCUAAGGGACCCCUCACCCCUGUGCCAAGUAACCCUGCUGUCCCUGUAGUGUCAGUAUGGUACCCACUAGAAUUCUGUAAGCUAGACUGGCCUCUGCCUUCUCUAUGAACCUGACAUCUUGCCACACAAGGGAGACAAUGGAGAAGUGCUCUAUACUGCUAGAUGUCAACACCUUGUGAAGAUGUUUGUAUCAAAUUAAAUCCAUAGGAAAAAUGUAAACGCUUCCCUCUUCUGCCUUUCUUGGUGAUAGUCCUCACUACUUGUUAUGAGAUGUCUGUUAUAGUUUGGAUAUCUGUCCCCACCCAAAUGUCAUGUUGAAUUGUAAUCCCCAAUUCUGGAGGUGGGGGCUGGUCAGAGGUGCCUGGAUCAUGGGGGCAAAUCCCUCAUGGCUUGGUGCUUUCUUUGUGAUGCAGAGUUCUCAGGAGAUCUGGUCAUUUUCAAAGUGUAUGGCACCUCCCUCCCCACUGUCUCUCUCUCUCUCUCCCUCUCUUGCUCCUGCUCCAGCCAUGUGACAUAUCUGCUCCCCCUUUGC